UACGAAGGGGGCUAGCGUUGCUCGGAAUCACUGGGCGUAAAGCGCACGUAGGCGGAUUGUUAAGUCAGGGGGUGAAAUCCUGGAGCUCAACUCCAGAACUGCCUUUGAUACUGGCGAUCUCGAGUCCGGGAGAGGUGAGUGGAACUCCGAGUGUAGAGGUGAAAUUCGUAGAUAUUCGCAAGAACACCAGUGGCGAAGGCGGCUUACUGGUCCGGUUCUGACGCUGAGGCGCGAAAGCGUGGGGAGCAAACAGG
rnacentral:rRNA from 1 species